UACAUGGGGUGCAAACGUUGCUCGGAAUUAUUGGGCGUAAAGCGCACGUAGGCGGUUUGUUAAGUCGGAUGUGAAAGCCCUCGGCUCAACUGAGGAAGUGCACCCGAAACUGGCAGGCUUGAGUACUAAAGAGGGUCGCGGAAUUCCCGGUGUAGAGGUGAAAUUCGUAGAUAUCGGGAGGAACACCGGUGGCGAAGGCGGCGACCUGGGUAGAUACUGACGCUGAGGUGCGAAAGCGUGGGGAGCAAACAGGG
rnacentral:rRNA from 1 species